rnacentral:rRNA from 1 species
UCGAGUCGUAAACUGCUGUCAGGUUCUAGGAACAAACCGGUGUUAAUAGCGCCGGUACUGACCAAGACCAAAGGAAGCAGCGGCUAACUCUGUGCCAGCAGCCGCGGUAAGACAGAGGUUGCAAACGUUGUUCGGAAUUACUGGGCAUAAAGCGCACGUAGGUGGUCCGCUAAGUCGGAUGUGAAAUUCCCCGGCUCAGCCGGGGAACGGCAAUCGAUACUGGCGGGCUUGAGGUCCGGAGGGGUGAGUGGAACUCCUGGUGGAGCGGUGAAAUGCGUAGAUAUUAGGAGGAACACCAGUGGCGAAAGCGGCUCACUGGCCGGAAUCUGACACUGAGGUGCGAAAGCUAGGGUAGCAAACGGGAUUAGCUACCCCGGUAGUCCUAGCCGUAAACGAUGGGCACUUGGCAGGGGGGUAACCUAUGGUCCUCUCUGCCGAAGCAAAUGUGUUAAGUGCCCCGCCUGGGGAGUACGCUCGCAAGGGUAAAACUCAAAGAGAUUGACGGGGGCUCACACAAGCGGUGGAG